CCAGCCAAGCACUCAUCAGAUCUUUACUGUAAAAUAUUUGUAUAGGGAAGUAUAUUCCGCAGCAAUCAACAUGACAGUAAAGAUUCACAUAGUAUACUGAGGAGCAUGAGGAUAUGAACCCAAGUUCCGUAAGUUACAGACGGAGCUUGAGCGAUCAUAUCCCGGCCAGGUAGCAAUUACCGGAGAAGGAACACCAAGUGUAACUGGCUUUUUUGAAGUUGAGGUUGCUGGAAAACUUGUACACAGCAAGAAGAAUGGUGAUGGUUACGUUGAUUCAGGAGCGAAGAAGGACAAAAUAAAUAAUGCAGUAAAAUCUGCUUUGAAUUAGUCCGGAAUUAGAAUCUCAAAAAGCAAACAUUGUGUUUUUGUAUGAGCCUUAGAAGCACCAAUAGGACUCUGAUGAUGAAGGAACCUAACUAAAUCUGACGAAUGUUUUGUUCUGGAGAGAUGAACAGGUGGGCCUCUUGGUGAUUUCUGAUGUUUUCAUACAGCACAUGUGACAUAACCCAGGGAUGUUUCUAAAUUAUACAAUUUAUUUAUUCAAUAAAAAAAUACCUACUUAAUUUUGAUCAC